AAAUUGACGCUUAUAUAUCACUAAAGAUUUUUAUUUUUAAUGCAUAUGAAUUAAUAGCGUGUAAUUUAAAUAAAUUUAAUUUCUCGACAGCAAGUUAGCUGUCAUCAAUCGUCUGUUUUCAUCAAUGUUCGUUUUCGUCAAUCUUCAAUCAAUUCUUUCAUCAAUUCUGAAGAUCAACACUAAUGAAAAUGUAUUUUCUAGAAGGCCAAGAUGAUCAUCGAUUGUCAAGAAAAUUGAAUCAUUUUUUUGUUCGUCUUCAACCCGACAGUCGCCCAUUAAUUGGACUUCACUAGGACUGGUUAGACUCGACGGAUACUAUAUAUCGUCAUUGGGAUUCAUCCAUCCUACCGGCUUUCUCUUCCCAGACGAGGACGCUACACGGUUGGCAGGGAAACGUAGUGAAUCCGCAUGAUACCGACCACCGACAUGGUGUUUCCUUUCAUCGUCUUCUCUACGAAAUACGGGACGCAUUCCAACGUAAGGAAACACGAGUGAGAACGAACGGACGAACGGACGAACGAACGGACGAACGGACGAACGGUCGAACGAACGAACGAACGAACGAACGAACGAACGAACGAACGAACGAACGAACGGACGGACGGACGAACGGACGGAUGACGACAGUGAAAUUGAAUGGAAAAAUAAGCACAAAUAAAUAAAUAAAU